ACACAGAAACCAAUAGGGGAGGGAGGGAGGGAGCCAAGCCAGCCAACAAAGAAAAACCCAAAUAUUUAUUAAAGGGGCCAGGGAGGGGCGGGAGGGCUGAGCCAAGGAGGCUCCGGCAGUCCAGGAGUCCUGGCAAGGGAACAGGGCGUAGCUGGAGGGAUAAACCAGCGAGGCUCCAGCCUAACAGGAACCCCGGCAGACCAUCAGGGCGGAGCCGGAGGAACCGACCAUGGAGGCUUCGGCUUAACAGGAAUCCCGGCAGACCACCAGGGCAGAGCCGGAGGGAUGAACCCAGGAGACUCCGGCCGAACAGGAACCCCAGCAGGCAGCCAAGGCGAGCCGAAGGAACAGACCAGGGAAGCUCCGGCUUAACAGGAACCCCAGCAGGUAGCCAGGGCAGAACCGGCAGGGCACUCAUCAAGGGAGGAGCCGGCAGGGCACUCAUCAAGGGCGGAGCCGGCAGGGCACUCAUCAAGGGAGGAGCCGGCAGGGCAAGGAGCCUGGGAGGGUCUGGAAUGGCCUCCAGGCCACGUGGGAUGGAGGAAUCCUUUUUCCUCCUCCUCCGUUUCCUAGACCGGGGCACUGCAACAUCGUCGGCCGACUCUGGGGGUGCUGCAGCUUCAUCAGCCGCCUCUGGGGGUGCAGCAGCCUCUUCGGCCACCUCUGCGGGCGCUGCAGCCUCUUUGGCCACCUCUGCGGGCACUGCAGCCUCUUCGGCCACUGCAGCCUCAUCAGGCACCACUGGGGGCACUGCAGCCUCAUCAGGCACCUUUAGAGGCAGCAGGGCGGACCCAUUCCUCCACCUUCCCCUCCUCCAUCUACGAGAGCGAGGUGCCACAGUCUCCUCGGCCACCUCUAGGGGUUCUGCAGUGUCACAUGUCAUCUCUGGGGGCACUGCAGCUUCUUCAUCCAUCAUUGGGGGCACUGCAGCUUCAUUGGGCUCCACAGGCAGCACUACAGCCUCCUUGGCUAGGGGAUGUGUCAAAAACUCCACAAAUUCCCCAAUUG
ensembl:lncRNA